AAUACAUACGGACACAAGACUAAAAACUUGACGAAGGGUUAAAUCGAUUAAAUCAUCCCCAGUACUUGACUAGUGUUAUAUAUUUAUCGACCCUUAGGAAAGAGAGGUGAAAGGCAAAUAUGACGUGUGAUUUGAACUCGGGACGGACAAAUUCGGAAAAAAAUACUACAGGGAAGCUUGUUCAACGCUCUAUUUUUCCAAUCAACCCCUCCUUUUUCUAAUAAAGUAAUAAUUUCUUAGUAUAUAAGGGGGUGCUGAAAAGUUCCUGACUUCGAUAAAAGAAAAUACAGGAGGAUCAGUUAUGAUUUAAUUCAACAUCUCAGAUACACACACUUAUUGCUACGGUCAUUCAGGCUUUGUAAGCCCUGUGAUGCCCUUAGAUGUCCGGGGGUCGCACGCGUGCUACACUGGAGGUAUCAGUGGGCGCGGUCUCUCCCAGCCCGAGAAGGUCGGGAAACCUCUGAACCACCUCCCGUGAUAGGGAUCGGGGCCUAGAAUCAACCCCGUGAACGAGGAAUUCCCGGUAGGCGCGGGUCAUCAGCCCGCAUCGAUCACGUCCCUGCCCUUUGUACACACGGCCCGUCGCUUACGACUGAUCGACCCACGAGUCCGCUUACGCGCGGCGGCGGCAUUACGCGACG
rnacentral:ncRNA from 1 species